AUUGAACGCUGGCGGCAGGCCUAACACAUGCAAGUCGAGCGAGCGGCGGACGGGUGAGUAAUGUCUGGGAAACUGCCUGAUGGAGGGGGAUAACUACUCUAAACGGUAUCUAAUACCGCAUACCAUCAGAUGUGCCCCGAUGGGAUGUGCUAGUAGGUGGGGUAACGGCUCACCUAGGCGACCAUCCCUAGCUGGUCUGAGAGGAUGACCAGCCACACUGGAACUGAGACACGGUCCAGACUCCUACGGGAGGCAGCAGUGGGGAAUAUUUCACAAUGGGCGCAAGCCUGAUGCAGCCAUGCCGCGUGUGUGAAGAAGGCCUUCGGGUUGUAAAGCACUUUCAGCGGGGAGGCGUUACCCGCAGAAGAAGCACCGGCUAACUCCGUGCCAGCAGCCGCGGUAAUAC
rnacentral:rRNA from 1 species